GUGGACGCACCACUGGUGUUCGGGUUGUCAUGCCAAUGGCAUUGCCCGGUAGCUAAGUGCGGAAGAGAUAACCGCUGAAAGCAUCUAAGCGGGAAACUUGCCUUGAGAUGAGUCUUCCCUGACCCUUUAAGGGUCCUAAAGGAACGUUUAAGACUAAGACGUUGAUAGGUUGGGUGUGUAAGCGUAGCGAUACGUUGAGCUAACCAAUACUAAUGAACCGUGAGGCUUAACCUGACAACACCGAAGGUGUU
rnacentral:rRNA from 1 species